UACGUAGGGUGCAAGCGUUGUCCGGAAUUAUUGGGCGUAAAGAGCUCGUAGGCGGUUCGUCGCGUCGGCUGUGAAAACCUGAGGCUCAACCUCAGGCCUGCAGUCGAUACGGGCGGACUGGAGUGUUGCAGGGGAGACUGGAAUUCCCGGUGUAGCGGUGAAAUGCGCAGAUAUCAGGAGGAACACCGGUGGCGAAGGCGGGUCUCUGGGCAACUACUGACGCUGAGGAGCGAAAGCGUGGGGAGCGAACAGG
rnacentral:rRNA from 1 species